AAAUCUCAGAGUCAGUCCACAGUGAGCCUCCAGUAAUUUGUCAGUUACAGUUCGGUUUCCCUAUCCCUGCACUGGUUCUCAUAGAGGUUUCUGUUCAUCAUUUUCUGCUUUGGUGGUCUAGGCCAUAAGGACUACAACUCUUAGAUGAGUCCUAGUGCUGAACUAAGUCCAGAGACACUGGAUUGGAAGGCAUGUGACAUACUGAGACAUCAGCUGGUGCAGCCAAGGCAUCACCCCUCCCCAAACCCUAGGCUGCACAGCUCACACUCCAAAAGAGACUCUCUUCCUUCCGCUUUAGGAUAGGAGAGGAAAAAAUGGGAAGGACUUUCUUCGCAUCUUGGAUACUAGCUCAGCUACAGAAUGAUAGGGCACCAUCAGUGCUGCAAGGCUCCUGUUCCAGGCCCUAGCUCCUAGAUGACAUUUCUGGACACACCCUGGACCAGAAGGAAACUUGCUGCCUUGAAGGAAAGGAUGCAGUUGUGGCAGAAUUCAUCACUUGUUAACUGAAGAGGCUUUGGACCCUGAAUAACCAGCAGCGAUCCACAGAUAAAACAGGGUCUAUGAUCCUGUGCCAAUGCAUUUGAAGCUUGUUGUCAGAGACAUUGUCAAGGAGAAUUUAAGGUAUGACUUCAAUAAAUGCAUGCACCAUAAAGGAU
rnacentral:lncRNA from 1 species